GAAGUUCUAGGCCUGGGGAAGAGGCAGAUUGACAAGAUUCCGCUACUUGUCCAAAAGCAAGCGGAGGAGCCGGCAAAUUCCAAGUUGACCUUUCACGUUUCAGAUGAUUAAUGCGGCAACUCGGAUCUGAAUAUGCCAUUAUUAUGUAUUGUAAGUGAUUUAGGUGACAUACUCGCUUGCGGACUCUUUCCGUCUUAUCGGAUAUGAGUGUGACCUUCAAAGAGAGAAAUGCUCUAGGUCUUCCUCAGCGGGCAUGUGAUCAUUCUUCUUCUUCAUUUGCCUUGGAAUCUCAACCUAUACACGGUCCUCACAGAAGACCCCCUCCUUAUCCACAACACAUGUGUGGUCCGUAAAACCCCUCUUUCGAUUGUCUUUUCAUCUUGUAAGGCAAGCAUACCUCCCUCUGUUGGAGGAAGAUCCGCAGGAGAGAGAAUUGCUUUUGUUGAAAAAGCUUAAAUAAAAAAAGCUCUUGCUCACGAAUCCCUUUCAGGUGCAGAUGAAUAUGCUGUUUAGCUUGGGACUAGGGCUUGUGAUCCUUCUCUUCANNNN
rnacentral:lncRNA from 1 species